rnacentral:rRNA from 1 species
AUUGAACGCUGGCGGCAGGCCUAACACACGCAAGUCGAACGGUAAAAGGAAACCGCUUGCUGUUUCGCUGACGAGUGGCGGACGGGUGAGUAAUGUCUGGGAAACCGCCCGAUGGAGGGGGAUAACUACUGGAAACGGUUGCUAAUACCGCAUAACGUCGCAAGACCAAAGAGGGGGACCUUCGGGCCUCUUGCUAUCGGAUGUGCCCAGAUGGGAUUAGCUAGUAGGUGGGGUAACGGCUCACCUAGGCGACGACCCCUAGCUGGUCUGAGAGGAUGACCAGCCACACUGGAACUGAGACACGGUCCGGACUCCUACGGGAGGGAGCAGUGGGGAAUAUUGCACAAUGGGCGCAAGCCUGAUGCAGCCAUGCCGCGUGUAUGAAGAAGGCCUUCGGGUUGUAAAGUACUUUCAGCGGGGAGGAAGGGAGUAAAGUUAAUACCUUUGCUCAUUGACGUUACACGCAGAAGAAGCACCGGCGAACUCCGUGCCAGCAGCCGCAGUAA